AGAGCGAACGCUGGCGGCAGGCUUAACACAUGCAAGUCGAGCGGGCGUAGCAAUACGUCAGCGGCAGACGGGUGAGUAACGCGUGGAACGUACCUUUGGUUCGGAACAACUGAGGGAACUUCAGCUAAUACCGAAUAAGCCCUUACGGGGAAAGAUUUAUCGCCGAAAGAUCGGCCCGCGGCUGAUUAGCUUGUUGGUGAGGUAAUGGCUCACCAAGGCGACGAUCAGUAGCUGGUCUGAGAGGAUGAUCAGCCACAUUGGGACUGAGACACGGCCCAAACUCCUACGGGAGGCAGCAGUGGGAAUAUUGGACAAUGGGCGCAAGCCUGAUCCAGCCAUGCCGCGUGAGUGAUGAAGGCCCUAGGGUUGUAAAGCUCUUUUGUGCGGGAAGAUAAAUGACGGUACCGCAAGAAUAAAGCCCCGGCUAACUUCGUGCCAGCAGCCGC
rnacentral:rRNA from 1 species